rnacentral:rRNA from 1 species
UACGGGGGGGGCAAGCGUUGUUCGGAAUUACUGGGCGUAAAGGGCGCGUAGGCGGCCUUCUAAGUCGGACGUGAAAUCCCUCGGCUUAACCGAGGAACUGCGUCCGAUACUGAAAGGCUUGAAUCCGGGAGAGGGAUGUGGAAUUCCAGGUGUAGCGGUGAAAUGCGUAGAUAUCUGGAGGAACACCGAUGGCGAAGGCAGCAUCCUGGACCAAUUCUGACGCUGAGGAGCGAAAGCCAGGGGAGCAAACGGG